CCUACGGGGCGCUGCAGUGAGGAAUAUUGGUCAAUGGACGAGAGUCUGAACCAGCCAAGUAGCGUGAAGGAUGACUGCCCUAUGGGUUGUAAACUUCUUUUAUAUGGGAAUAAACUGUUCCACGUGUGGGCUUUUGUAUGUACCAUAUGAAUAAGGAUCGGCUAACUCCGUGCCAGCAGCCGCGGUAAUACGGAGGAUCCGAGCGUUAUCCGGAUUUAUUGGGUUUAAAGGGAGCGUAGGUGGAUAGUUAAGUCAGUUGUGAAAGUUUGCGGCUCAACCGUAAAAUUGCAGUUGAAACUGGCAGUCUUGAGUACAGUAGAGGUGGGCGGAAUUCGUGGUGUAGCGGUGAAAUGCUUAGAUAUCACGAAGAACUCCGAUUGCGAAGGCAGCUCACUGGACUGCAACUGACACUGAGGCUCGAAAGUGUGGGUAUCAAACAGGAUUAGAUACCCGGGUAGUC
rnacentral:rRNA from 1 species